UCCAGACUCCUACGGGAGGCAGCAGUGGGGAAUAUUGCACAAUGGGCGCAAGCCUGAUGCAGCGACGCCGCGUGAGCGAAGAAGUAUUUCGGUAUGUAAAGCUCUAUCAGCAGGGAAGAAAAUGACGGUACCUGACUAAGAAGCUCCGGCUAAAUACGUGCCAGCAGCCGCGGUAAUACGUAUGGAGCAAGCGUUAUCCGGAUUUACUGGGUGUAAAGGGAGCGCAGGCGGCUUUGCAAGUCUGAUGUGAAAGGCCAGGGCUCAACCCUGGGACUGCAUUGGAAACUGUAAAGCUAGAGUACCGGAGAGGUAAGCGGAAUUCCUAGUGUAGCGGUGAAAUGCGUAGAUAUUAGGAGGAACACCAGUGGCGAAGGCGGCUUACUGGACGGCAACUGACGCUGAGGCUCGAAAGCGUGGGGAGCAAACAGGAUUAGAUACCCCAGUACUU
rnacentral:rRNA from 1 species